CCUCUGGGGAGUUCCCAUUGUGAGGAGCUGAGGCUUCCUGACAACAACCAACACCAACUCGCCAGGAGAGGAGAAGAGCAGAAGACAAGGGAAGCAGAUCAGGUUUGUAGGUAUUAUCUCCAAUGUACCUGUGAAGAAACUAAGGCCUGGAAGAGUUCAGCGAUUUGCCUACAGUAACACAGCAACUUUAGAGACCAUCUGCAUUCCUUGAGUUGUGGCUUCUUCCUCCAUCUUCAAAACCAGCAACAACAGAUAAGUCCUUCUUAGAUUGCUU